UACGUAGGGUGCGAGCGUUGUCCGGAAUUAUUGGGCGUAAAGGGCUCGUAGGCGGUCUGUUGCGUCGGGAGUGAAAACUCAGGGCUUAACCCUGAGCCUGCUUCCGAUACGGGCAGACUAGAGGUAUGCAGGGGAGAACGGAAUUCCUGGUGUAGCGGUGAAAUGCGCAGAUAUCAGGAGGAACACCGGUGGCGAAGGCGGUUCUCUGGGCAGUACCUGACGCUGAGGAGCGAAAGUGUGGGGAGCGAACAGG
rnacentral:rRNA from 1 species